UAACACGUAGAACGUACCCCAAAGUGAGGGAUAACUGCUCGAAAGAGUAGCUAAUACCGCAUGUGAUCCACGGAUUAAAGCUUUAUGCGCUUUGGGAACGGCCUGCGUCCGAUUAGCUAGAUGGUAGUGUAAUAGACUACCAUGGCGACGAUCGGUAGCUGGUCUGAGAGGAUGAUCAGCCAGACUGGGACUGAGACACGGCCCAG
rnacentral:rRNA from 1 species